UAGGGAAUCUUCCGCAAUGGGCGAAAGCCUGACGGAGCAACGCCGCGUGAGUGAUGAAGGUCUUCGGAUCGUAAAACUCUGUUAUUAGGGAAGAAUAAAUGUGUAAGUAACUAUGCACGUCUUGACGGUACCUAAUCAGAAAGCCACGGCUAACUACGUGCCAGCAGCCGCGGUAAUACGUAGGUGGCAAGCGUUGUCCGGAUUUAUUGGGCGUAAAGCGAGCGCAGGCGGUCAAUUAAGUCUGAUGUGAAAGCCCCCGGCUCAACCGGGGAGGGUCAUUGGAAACUGGUUGACUUGAGUGCAGAAGAGGAGAGUGGAAUUCCAUGUGUAGCGGUGAAAUGCGUAGAUAUAUGGAGGAACACCAGUGGCGAAGGCGACUCUCUGGUCUGUAACUGACGCUGAGGCUCGAAAGCGUGGGUAGCAAACAGG
rnacentral:rRNA from 1 species